rnacentral:rRNA from 1 species
CAGCAGCCGCGGGAAUACGAAGGGGGCUAGCGCUGUUCGGAUUUACUGGGCGUAAAGGGCGCGUAGGCGGACUGAUAAGUCAGGGGUGAAAUCCCAAGGCUCAACCUUGGAACUGCCUUUGAUACUGUUUGUCUUGAGUUCGAGAGAGGUAAGUGGAACUGCGAGUGUAGAGGUGAAAUUCGUAGAUAUUCGCAAGAACACCAGUGGCGAAGGCGGCUUACUGGCUCGAAACUGACGCUGAGGCGCGAAAGCGUGGGGAGCAAACAGGAUUAGAGACCCGGGUAGUCCCUGUCUCUUAUAC